GGCGCCGGGACUCUCCCGAGCCGGGUCUCGGCGCCCUCACCCCCCUGGGCGCCGGGGUCCGGCUCCUUU
rnacentral:ncRNA from 1 species